UUAUUUGAGUUUAUUCGAUUGUGGUUUGGGAUUGAUGACGAAGAUUCGAGCAAUGUGGCGUACGCCAAUUAUUCAAAUAAUCGAAAGAUAAUGAGGCGUACGCCUCCUAUCCUUUUAUUAUCGGAAACUUAGAAUUGAAUGGUUGUAGAAUUUGUAGUUGAUUUAGAAAAUGUGAUUUGAAUGUGAUGGUUGAAGUUUUAGAAAU
rnacentral:lncRNA from 1 species